rnacentral:rRNA from 1 species
GUCGUCAGCUCGUGUCGUGAGAUGGUUAGGGUUAAGUCCGCAACGAGCGCAACCCUUAUCAUUAGUUGCUACGCAAGGGCACUCUAAUGAGACUGCCGGUGACAAACCGGAGGAAGGUGGGGAUGACGUCAAGUCCUCAUGGCCCUUAUGGGUAGGACUUCACACGUCAUACAAUGGUCGGUACAGAGGGUUGCCAAGCCGCGAGGCGGAGCCAAUCCCACAAAGCCGAUCGUAGUCCGGAUUGUUCUCUGCAACUCGAGAGCAUGAAGUCGGAAUCGCUAGUAAUCGCAGGUCAGCAUACUGCGGUGAAUACGUUCCCGGGUCUU